GUUACUUAACCUCUCUGAGUUUGUCGAUUGUAGCAUGAUUAUCCUUUACUUUACAGCUCAGAUCUGCUUAUAAAUGAGUACAAACCAUGUUUGUCUAUUGGGGUCAGGAAGAUUAUUUUUCUAGUUCUGUUUACUUGAUUGCAAAUUUCAUAUUUUGUUUUAAAAAUAGCUGCAUGAUACUCCAUUGUGUGAAUAUACCGCAUGUUCUUUGUCCAUUCUUCAGUUGAGGGACAUCUAGGUUGUUUUUAGUUUCUGACGCCUCCACAAGACAGAGUCCACUCUUGACACUGCCUGAAGGGCUAGGAACCAGAGGCUGGAUAUGGAUAACCCAGCAGCCUUGGAGAGAACUAACCAUGACUCCUAAAAACAAGCAAACAAGCAACAACAACAAACACAACAGAAAACAGGGACAUCCUCUGAAGAGGAAAAUAUAGAGGGAGCCUGGAUGGUUUAGAAGCACUGCAUGUGUUGGAGUAGAGGGUGUUCAUGUGAUGACGUGACCAUUAUCCCGUGUCUGAUGAAGUUUCAGAAGCAUUGUUCCUUGUGUAUUUAGCCACAUUCAGUUCAGAAAUACUUGAACAAUUCUUAUGCAAAAAAACUAAUGUACUAAAACCAAAGUCCAGAAAAUGCCUGAAAUGUUCGUGUUUAUCAAGAAUUGAAGAUGGAUAGCAGAUGGACAUCGUCUGUAUCUGUCAUUAAUGAACCAAUGUGUUUCUUCAAUGGGCCAUGAACUAGGAAGUCAGAAAGAAAAAACAGAAGUUUUCACAAUACUGUGCAGAAAAUGGACUUUUUGUUUUUUUCAAUCAGAGACCAGUGGAAGGAUAUGACUUGAAAGUAGAUAGUAACCAGCAAGGAUUUUGAGAAAAUAAGGAGUUCAUCAGAUAUAUUUUAUGCACUUAUCCACCAUGCAAGAAAAGAAAGAAAAGAAAAAUCCAUGACAGCGUUAAAACAGAAAAAUGAUUGGCUUUAUCUCAUCUUUCAUGGUCCACCCUGGUUCAAGACAAGUCAAGUGAUGACGUUUGGAACUGCUAGAAGCCAGCUGUUUCGUGUCAGGCGUUGAGAACAAAGAGGCGGAGUUGUGGUCAUUGAGUUCCUGAGAGCAGAGAUGAGGAGGAGGGGAAACACUGAGGAGAUGAAAGCAUCAACAAACUCACCCUGUGGGACAGUGGAUAAGGAAGACCACAAUUGUUUGGCCAGGGCUUCUGGAUCUUAUUAAUGUCACCAGGCUUCUCCAACCCUCGAUGGCAGAAAUUUGGACUCUUCCUGUUCUUCGGAGACCUCAACAUGAACUGAAGUUCACUAAACUCUGUAGCUAAAUAAAGAUUUCUGAAAAUUCCCUCCUUCCUUACAGCAAAUGGGGUAGUAUUGCUGUUGCCCCCAAGCCACUGCUGGUUAUACAAAACCUGAUGCACCGAACUCGAACUCUAUCACUGGGACAGUCCCUUUGCUCAGACAUUAGCCUGUCCCAUCAGUUUGGGCUUCAAAACAUGUUGUUAAUGAAGUACUAGAAGGGAACGUGCUGUGUUGUAUUUACGGCACAGUGCUGGCUCCUGAAGUCUGAAGGGAAGCAAACUUCUGAUUUUGCAAUUGAACCAAUGUUAUUUUAUUUCAAGGACAAAUAAGUUAGAGUGAGAAGACAGAAAAAUGUGUUAGGAUUAGCUAUAAAGAAGGGUAUUUUGAUUCUUCUUUUAUGAAACAUUUAGAAUGUUUAUGGAAAUAGAUUUUCAGUAGA